GCCCUGUGUGCAAGUCCCGGUGAUAAUCAAACGGAUGGCCGUCCUCCAUCGGAGAAAAAAGUGGCCAAGCGCAGCAGCCAAGCAAGCCGGCUAUCCUCCAACUCCAAACGGCGUAAAUUGCUUCAAUUUCCCCCUUUAAAUAAAAUUGAAUAAAUUACC